GGGAGCCCUAGCACAGGUGCUGCAUGGCCGUCGUCAGCUCGUGCCGUGAGGUGUUGGGUUAAGUCCCGCAACGAGCGCAACCCCGCCGUUAGUUGCCAGCGGUUCGGCCGGGCACUCUAACGGGACUGCCCGCGAAAGCGGGAGGAAGAGGGGACGACGUCUGGUCAGCAUGGCCCUUACGGCCUGGGCGACACACGUGCUACAAUGCCCACUACAAAGCGAUGCCACCCGGCAACGGGGAGCUAAUCGCAAAAAGGUGGGCCCAGUUCGGAUUGGGGUCUGCAACCCGACCCCAUGAAGCCGGAAUCGCUAGUAAUCGCGGAUCAGCCAUGCCGCGGUGAAUACGUUCCCGGGCCUU
rnacentral:rRNA from 1 species